GUGGCUGUGGCUCAGUGGUAGAGCACUUACCUUGCAUGUAUGAGGCACUGGGUUUGAUCCUCAGCACCACA
rnacentral:tRNA from 1 species